AUUGAACGCUGGCGGCAGGCCUAACACAUGCAAGUCGAACGAGUGGCGGACGGGUGAGUAAUGUCUGGGAAACUGCCUGAUGGAGGGGGAUAACUACUGGAAACGGGAGCUAAUACCGCAUACCAUCGGAUGUGCCCAGAUGGGAGUAGCUAGUGGGUGGGGUAACGGCUCACCUAGGCGACGAUCCCUAGCUGGUCUGAGAGGAUGACCAGCCAACCUGGAACUGGGACACGGUCCGGACUCCUCCGGGAGGCAGCAGUGGGGAAUAUUGCACAAUGGGCGCACGCCUGAUGCAGCCAUGCCGCGUGUAUGAAGAAGGCUUUCGGGUUGUAAGGUACUUUCAGCGGGGAGGCGUUACCCGCAGAAGAAGCCCCGGCUAACUCCGUGCCAGCAGCCGCGGUAAUUC
rnacentral:rRNA from 1 species